GAAAGAACUCCAAAGUCAGCCAACAUCUGUAACAUGGGAAACUACAGGCCAGAGAGGAUGGGUGACUUGCUCUGAGUCACAGACUAAGUGAGCAGCAGAGUCAGAAUGAGGACACUUGUCUCCUAGCCCAGUGUUCUUCACACCGACACACUCCCAUUAACCUGGAGUGGUGUGAACAGGAAACACUCAAAGGUGCU